GAGUUUGAUUAUGGCUCAGGACAAACGCUGGCGGCGUGCAUAACACAUGCAAGUCGAACGAAAUCUACAUGAUUUAGUGGCGAACGGGUGAGUAACACGUGAGAAACCUGCCUUACACAGAGGGAUAGCCGUUGGAAACGACGAUUAAUACCUCAUGACACCGUGACAUCGCAUGAUGAUGCGGUCAAAGAUUUAUCGGUGUAAGAUGGUCUCGCGCCUGAUUAGCUGGUUGGUGGGGUAACGGCCUACCAAGGCGACGAUCAGUAGCCGAUCUGAGAGGGUGGACGGCCACAUUGGGACUGAGACACGGCCCAAACUCCUACGGGAGGCAGCAGUGGGGAAUUUUGCACAAUGGGGGAAACCCUGAUGCAGCGACGCCGCGUGAACGAAGAAGGCCUUCGGGUUGUAAAGUUCUGUCCUUGG
rnacentral:rRNA from 1 species